UACGAAGGGGGCGAGCGUUGUUCGGAUUUACUGGGCGUAAAGGGCGCGCAGGCGGCUAUCCAAGUCAGGCGUGAAAGCCCCGGGCUUAACCUGGGAGGUGCGUCUGGGACUGGGUGGCUAGAGUUCGGGAGAGGAGAGUGGAAUUCCCAGUGUAGAGGUGAAAUUCGUAGAUAUCGAGAGGAACACCUGUGGCGAAGGCGGCCAACUGGACGAGUACUGACACUGAGACGCGAAAGCGUGGGGAGCGAACAGG
rnacentral:rRNA from 1 species